CGGGGCCUUGUACACACCGAGUCUUGUACACAGGGGUCUUGUACACACCGAUGCUAUUUCUAGAGAUAGAAAGUUACUUCGGUACAUCGGUGACAGGUGGUGCAUGGUUGUCGUCAGCUCGUGUCGUGAGAUGUUGGGUUAAGUCCCGCAACGAGCGCAACCCCUAUUGUUAGUUGCCAUCAUUCAGUUGGGCACUCUAGCGAGACUGCCGGUAAUAAACCGGAGGAAGGUGGGGAUGACGUCAAAUCAUCAUGCCCCUUAUGACCUGGGCUACACACGUGCUACAAUGGUUGGUACAACGAGUUGCGAGUCGGUGACGGCGAGCUAAUCUCUUAAAGCCAAUCUCAGUUCGGAUUGUAGGCUGCAACUCGCCUACAUGAAGUCGGAAUCGCUAGUAAUCGCGGAUCAGAAAUCCGUGCGCUCUACUCUGGCUGCUGCUAAUUAAUUCAAUAUAUUCAUUCUGUAGGGAUCCCGGGGGGGAAUAAGAAGUCAGGCUGAAACGGGGGGGGGUCUUGUACACA
rnacentral:rRNA from 1 species